rnacentral:lncRNA from 1 species
ACACACGCGGGCACACACAUACACACACAUACCCACGGCAGACACGCACGCAUCCGAGCGUCGAAAGGAAAGCCGCGUCUCGCCAUCCGGGCCCGCCCGCCACUAGUUCGCUCUUGGGUUUCCCAGCAGCGCGGGAACGCGGAGGCCGGAGCCGUGACCUCUGACCCCGUGGUUAUGCGGAGCCGCCGCAUUCCUUAGCCAUCGCGGGGCUGCCGCUGCCGCUGCCACCGUGGGCGACUGACGCAGCGCGGGCGCGUGGAGCCGCCGCCGCCCCUCCCCCCAGCGCCACCCUCGCGCCGGGGUCUCGCUCUAGCCAGUCCCGGUGCGCCCGCCCUCUCCGGCCGCACCCGAGCCCUCGCACGCGCCGCCGCCGCCACGCGCCCCCCGCCGCUGCCGCCGCCUCCGCCCCAGCCCCGCGCCGCCACCGCCCCAGUCCGCCCCGCCCGAAGGACCCGCGUGGAGCCGCCACCGCCGCCGCGGAGGAGGAGGAUGAAGGACAAACAGAAGAGGAAGAAGGAGCGCACGUGGGCCGAGGCCGCGCGCCUGGUGUUAGAAAACUACUCAGAUGCUCCAAUGACACCAAAACAGAUUCUGCAGGUCAUAGAGGCAGAAGGACUGAAGGAAAUGAGCAGUGGGACAUCCCCUCUUGCGUGCCUCAAUGCCAUGCUACAUUCCAACUCAAGAGGAGGAGAAGGGCUGUUUUAUAAAUUACCUGGCCGCAUUAGUCUUUUCACACUCAAGAAAGAUGCAGUGCAGUGGUCUAGAAAUGCAGCUACAGUGGAUGGAGACGAGCCAGAGGACUCCGCUGAUGUGGAAAGCUGUGGGUCUAAUGAAGCCAGCACUGUGAGUGGUGAAAAUGAUGUAUCUCUGGAUGAAACAUCUUCAAAUGCAUCCUGCUCUACAGAGUCUCAGAGCCGACCCCUCUCCAAUCCCAGGGACAGCCACAGGGCUUCCUCACAGG